UACACAUGCAAGUCGAGCGGGNNNNAGGGNUAGCCUUUCGCGUACACUGACCUAGCGGCGGACGGGUGGAGUAAUGCUUAGGAAUCUGCCUAUUAGUGGGGGACAACAUUCCGAAAGGAAUGCUAAUACCGCAUACGCCCUACGGGGGAAAGCAGGGGAUCUUCGGACCUUGCGCUAAUAGAUGAGCCUAAGUCAGAUUAGCUAGUUGGUGGGGUAAAGGCCUACCAAGGCGACGAUCUGUAGCGGGUCUGAGAGGAUGAUCCGCCACACUGGGACUGAGACACGGCCCAGACUCCUACGGGAGGCAGCAGUGGGGAAUAUUGGACAAUGGGCGNAAGCCUGAUCCAGCCAUGCCGCGUGUGUGAAGAAGGCCUUUUGGUUGUAAAGCACUUUAAGCGAGGAGGAGGCUACUUGGAUUAAUACUCUAGGAUAGUGGACGUUACUCGCAGAAUAAGCACCGGCUAACUCUGUGCCAGCAGCCGCGGUAAUACAGAGGGUGCGAGCGUUAAUCGGAUUUACUGGGCGUAAAGCGUGCGUAGGCGGCUUCUUAAGUCGGAUGUGAAAUCCCUGAGCUUAACUUAGGAAUUGCAUUCGAUACUGGGAAGCUAGAGUAUGGGAGAGGAUGGUAGAAUUCCAGGUGUAGCGGUGAAAUGCGUAGAGAUCUGGAGGAAUACCGAUGGCGAAGGCAGCCAUCUGGCCUAAUACUGACGCUGAGGUACGAAAGCAUGGGGAGCAAACAGGAUUAGAUACCCUGGUAGUCCAUGCCGUAAACGAUGUCUACUA
rnacentral:rRNA from 1 species